CACGCUGUAAACGAUGAAAACUAAGUAUUGCCGCGAGGCAGUGCUGUAGCUAACGCAUUAAGUUUUCCGCCUGGGGAGUACGACCGCAAGGUUGAAACUCAAAGGAAUUGACGGGGGCCCGCACAAGCGGUGGAGCAUGUGGUUUAAUUCGAAGCAACGCGAAGAACCUUACCAGGUCUUGACAUCCCGAUGACCGCUCUAGAGAUAGAGUUUUCCCUUCGGGGACAUUGGUGACAGGUGG
rnacentral:rRNA from 1 species